CCUACGGGAGGCAGCAGUGGGGAAUAUUGGGCAAUGGGCGCAAGCCUGACCCAGCAACGCCGCGUGAAGGAAGAAGGCUUUCGGGUUGUAAACUUCUUUUGACAGGGAAGAGCAGAAGACGGUACCUGUCGAAUAAGCCACGGCUAACUACGUGCCAGCAGCCGCGGUAAUACGUAGGUGGCAAGCGUUGUCCGGAUUUACUGGGUGUAAAGGGCGUGUAGCCGGGCUGACAAGUCAGAUGUGAAAUCCGGGGGCUCAACCCCCGAACUGCAGUUGAAACUGUUGGUCUUGAGGAUCGGAGAGGCAGGCGGAAUUCCUAGUGUAGCGGUGAAAGGCGUAGAUAUUAGGAGGAACACCAGUGGCGAAGGCGGCCUGCUGGACGACAACUGACGGUGAGGCCCGAAAGCGUGGGGAGCAAACAGGAUUAGAUACCCCAGUAGUC
rnacentral:rRNA from 1 species